UUUUAUUUUGAGAUAGUUCACAGGGAGUUGUAAGAAAUCAUACAGAAAGAUCCCGUGUACCUUUCACCCAGUUUCCCCCGUUGGUAACGUCUUGCAAAACUACUGCGCAGUGUGUGUGGGGGUGUUGACACUGAUGUGGUCAAAACAGAACCAGCACCACGAGGCUCCCUCCUGCUUUCUUUUAACAAACAAAUUUGAUGUAUUUUAAAAAUUGCGAUGAAAUAUAUAUUACGUAAGAUUUACCAUUUAACCAUUUGUAAGUGUACAACUCAGUGGCCUUAAGCACAUUCGCGUUAAUGUGCAACCAUCACCACCAUCCGUCUCCAGAACUUUUAUGUCAUCUCAGUAGGAACUCUGUCCCCAUUGAGCGCUAACUCCUCAUCUCGCUCCCCCAGCCCCUGAACCUCUGUCCUACUUUCUGCCCCCUGACUCCUCGAGGGACCCGAGCUCCCUUCUGGGGAAAUGGUGGGGUACGUGGGGCUGGCCUGGUGGCCCGGCCGUCACCAGCAAUGACUGUUAAUAUGGCUCUUGAUCAGCCUUUUUCUUGUAAAAGUGACACGUGAUGUUACAAAAACUCACGCAGUGCGGAACAGACCACAGCAGAAAGUGGAAGUUUGUUGUUGGCGAGAGCUCUCCCCACCCACCCUGAGGCACAGGCACCCGGAAUUUUUCGGGACACAGAGAAACAUACACACGCAGACAUGCUUUUUUUUUUUUUUUUUUUUUAACGCAUCACAGGUUGAGCUUCUCUGUCCCCUUUCAAGCCUCUCUGCCUCCCUGCCCUCAGGGCUGGGGUGGGAGUGGGUGUGGACGCAGUUGGUGGUGUGGGGGUCCCAGAUCUUUUAGCAAAUCACCUUACCAGAGCUGUCUCCCGGGGGUCAACAUUAGCGAGAGAAAGAGCACUGGGUUCGUCUUGUGGCUGCUUCACCUGGAGAACCCCAACAGCGGCCAGCACCUUGCAGCCACCACCACGCCGCACCUGCGCCCCGAGAAGUUGGGACGCUGCCCCAUCACAGUGAGAGGACACACCUGCGGGGACCGGGGGCCUUCGUGAGACGUGUUGGGCAGGAAUGGUGGCAUCUAGGGGGUGCUGGGUGAUUUUGGUCGUGCUGGAUUGAGUGCUGGAGGAGCGGGUGCUCCACGAUGGGGAUCUGAAUGCAUCCUGUCGAGGAUGUAAGCAGAAGGGCAUGGCUGACAUUGUGUGGGUGGUGAGGGAGGGAGCAGCAGUCACCCGUAUUUGCCAGGGCGGCGGUAUUUGGUUGUUUUUGUGGCGUGACAGUGACUGUUUGUCUGAGUUCAUACCUGUCUGUGUAUCCUUGUCGAUGUUGACGUGCCAUGACAUUAAUUUACCUGGAGAACACCAAGGCCGGCUGAUAGCGCCAGGCCAGCUCUAGGCUGUCGAGGGCUUUCCUCUACCUCGCAUCUGCCCAGUGGGUCUGUUCCGAGUGCCCACUCUGUGCCAGGUGUUGGGGACGUAGCUGUGAGUGGCGGAGAAACCUCCCUGUCCUUGGGAACUCGCGUUCUUGUUGGAGACUCUUUGCACUGAAUUGUGUCCCCCAAAUUCAUAUAUUGAAGACCUGACCCCCAGGGUGACCGAAUUUGGAGGCAGGGCUGUCAGGAGGUCGUUACGGUUAAAUGAGGUCGUAAGCCUGGGGCCCUGACCCGGUAGGACUUCAGAAGAGAAAGAGACAUCAGGAAUGCUGGUGCACAGAGAAAAGGCCGCGUGAGGACACUGGGAGAAGGUGGCCAUCUGCGGGCCAAGGAGGGAGGCCUCAGGAGACCAGCCAGCCUGCACCUUGAUCUCAGCCUUCCAGCCUCCAACUGAGAGAAGUAAAUUUCUGUUGUUUAGGCCACCCAGGCCAGGGGACAUUGGCAUGGCAGCCCUCUGUGACCCACACGAGCCCCUUCCAGGCAGUCCCCACCCCUGGUCCAGGCAUGUGUGACCUGCUUUCUCUGCCUCUGCCUUGCACCUGCCUGUUCCAGACUUUCACAUCAACGCAGUCACACUCUGUCGCUCCUUGGGGUCCGGCCUCUUCACUCAGCAUAAUGACCGCGAGGUCCCUCCAUGACGCUGUGUAUCAAUAUCACUCUUUCUUAUCACUGAGUUGUAUCCCGUUUUAUGACUAUGCCACCAUAUGUGUAUCCAUUCACCUGUUCAUGGUGUCUGGGUGGCUGCCGGUUCUUGGUUAAUGUGCGUAAAGCUGCUAUGAAAGUCUGUAAACAGCUUUUGGUGUGGACGUAUAUUUUCCUUUGUCUAGGUUAUUUACCUAGGAGUGGAAUGGCUGGGUCAGAUGGAAAGCGUGUGGUUAACUUUGUAAGCGUUUGCCAAACCGUCAUCCAAAGUGGUCGUACCACUUUCCAUUCCCACCAGCAGUGUCAACAGAUCCAGUAACGCCAUAUCCUCGUCAAUACCUGAUAUGGUCAGACUUUACCCUUAGCCACUCUGAUAGCUGUGAAGUGGUAUCUCCUUGUCAUUUUAAUUUGCAUUUCCCUGUUGACUAAUGAUGCUGAGCAUCUUUGCAUGUGCCGUCUGUGUGUCUUCUUUGGGGAAGGAUCUGUUCAAAAAUCUUGACCAUUAAAAGAAUAUUGAGUUGUUUGUCUUCUUAUUGAGUUGUAAGAAAUUUUUAAAAAAUAUAUCUUUUGGGCAAGACAUGUGUGUUGUGGAUAUUUUCCCCAGCAGGUGGUUUGCCUUCUCAUUUCCUUAAUAUCAAACUUUGAAGAGCAAAGUCUUUAAUUUGGAUGAAGUCCAAUUUAUCUGUUUUUCUGUGAUGGUUUAUGUCUUUCAUGUCCUCUCUAAGAAAUCUUUGCCCACUUCAAGGUCACAAAGAUUUUCUCCUAUGUUUUCUACCAGAAGUUUAAUAAUUUUAGCUUUUACAUUUAGGCCUAUGGUCCCUUUGGGCUACUUUUUGCUCGUGGUGAGGGUAAAGGCUGAGCUUCAUUUUUGCCGCCUUGAUUCUCCCUGUUCCAGCAACUGUUGCCUACAAAGAUUACCUUUCCCCUGUGGGAUUACUGUGGCGCCUCCGACAACACUCUGGUGAUCGCACACGAGCGGGUCUGUUUGUGGACUCCGUCUCUUCCGUCUCGUCGACCGGUUGGUACUCCUCCUGCCUACACCAUCUGGGCUGGAUCCACGAGGCUUACAGCUCACGUCCUUCAGCCCUGCUCUUCCUUUUCAAAAUUGUUUUGGCCACGAUAACUCCUUUCUGUUUUCACAUGAGUGUAAAAAAUCAGCGUAUCAAUUUCCACAAACAAGCCUGCUGCAGUUUGAUUGGGACUACAUUGAUCUCUGGUUACUUGGGGGAGAACUGACAUCUUGCCGAAACCCAGUCUUCCACUUUGUGAGCAUCGUACCUUUCCAUUUACGGCGUCCUCUGUCCCCUCCCUCGGCAGGGCCUGCACAGGCCUGCACACAUUCUGUUGAAUUUGUCCCAGAUGCUUCAUGUUUUUAAUGUGAGUGUGUUCUUGCUCUUUUAAAUUUCAAAAACCCAUCUGUAUUUUCUAAACUGUUGGCCUUGUGUCCUGUGACGUCACUAAAUAAGCUGUGUAGGCCACUUAGCCUUUCUGUAGACAUUGUAGAACUUUUAUAUAUGUGGUCACGUUGUCUGCGAAGAAGCAAUGUUUCCCUUCCGCUCCCAUCGCCGCGCCUUCUCUUUCUUUUUCUUGCCGCGUUGCCCUUUCUGAGACUCCAGUGCAGUGUUGUGCAGAAGGGGAUGAGUGGGCGUCCCUGCCUCGUCCUGUUCUUGGGUGAAAGCAUGCCGUCUUCACCAUCGACUGAGACGUUGGCUGUGGGAGUCUCUCAGCUGCCUCUGCAGAUUUGGGGGCUCUGUUUCUGCACAGCCCCCGGCCUCUAGAACCCUGCAAUCUCCAAUCGCUGUCCUCUUCUUUUGGCUGCUGUCUCUUUCUGUGUACAGUAUCCUUUGCACGUCAGCCUACAGUUUUGGUUUUGCAUGCAGUAAGACAAUGUCUGCAUUUAACUGGAGGAUUGAGACCAUUUCCAUUCCAUGUAGUUUCCUGUGUGGUUGGGUUUGGGUCCAUAUUUUGAUAAUUAUUUGCUGUUCUUUGUUUCUUGUUUCCUCCUUUAUGCCUUCUUCUUGACGAAUUGAGUGUUUUUUGGGUAUUUCAUUCAUCUGCACUGUGGGCUUAUUUGCUACACAUCUUCAUUUUAUUUAUCAGCGGCUGCUCUAGGGCUUACAAUAUGCACCUGUCCUCACCUCCCACUAUCACCCGCUUGACAGACCAUGAAAAGCACCUUACACAGUCCACUCACGUUUCCCUGCCCCAGGCUUCUUGCUCUUAUUGUCAUGGAUUUUACUUCCACGUGCUGUGACCAUGACAGCACAUUGUUAUUUUUCUUUAAGCUUUCUAUUAUUUUUAAAAGAAAUUUUAAAAAUGAGAAAAAGAUGUCUCAUGUUUACUGACAUAUUUACCAUUUCUUUCACUCUCCAUUCCUUUGAGUAGAGAUGCGUUUUCAUUGGGUACCGACUUCCUUGUCUUUGAAGAAAGUCCUUUCACAUUUCUUGUAAUGAAAGUCUGCUGGUGAUGGACGACCGGAGCUUUUAUAGAAAUCAUGAAAUGGAAGUCCUCAGUCUUUGUUGUGCUUCCAUUUUGGGCAAAUACCUUCACUGUGUAUGGAAGUCUAAGUUGAGAUGUUCUCCAGCGUGUUCUAGAUGUUUCUAUCGUCCCUGACUUGCACUGUUUCUGGUGAGAAUUCAGCCGUGCCCCUUAUCUCUGCUUCUCUGGAUGUGACGGUGUUCGCUGAGACUGAUUUGGGGUUUUUCCCUUUAUCCCUGUUUUUCAGGAAUUUGAUUGUGAUUUUCCUUGUUAUAUGUUCUUUCUUGUUUAUCCUUCCUGGGGUUUGUAGGCAUUCUUUUGUUUGUAGGUUUAUACUUUUUCUUUAAUUUUUCUGUUCUUGCCUCUCUCUUGUUUUGUAAGACUCCACUUAUAUUGAUGUUAGACAGCUUGAUAUUUUCCAGGCAUCACUGAGGCCCUGUUUUUUUUUCCCUUUUCUUUUUUUCUCUUUGUACCUCAUUUUGGAUAGUUUCUAUUACUAUAGCUUCAAGUUCAUGGAUAUCAUCUUGAAGUGUCCAGCCUGUGUUAACCCUACUUUUAUGGGCCAAAUUGCGUCCCCCCAAAUUCGUAUGUUCAAACCCUAACCCCCAAUACCUUGGAAUGUGGCUAUAUUUGGAGAUAGGGCCUUAAAGGUGGUAAUUAAGGGUAACUGAGGCCAUCUGGGUGGGCUUUAAUCCAAUCUGAGAGCAGGCCUAUGGAGAAUAGGAAAUUUGGACACCCAAAGAGACCCCAGGGAUGCGCAUGCACAGAGAAAGGACCAUGUGGGGACAUGGUGAGAAGGAGGCCGUCUACAAGGCAAGCCGAGAGGUCUCAGGGAGACCAGCCCCACCACAGCUUGCUCGUGGACUCCAGCCUCCAGCCUGCGAGGCGAUAAAUUCCUGCUGUUUACCCAGGAUACUGCGGUAUUCGUUAUGGCCACCCGAGCCGGCUAACACACCUGCCCAGCUCAUUCUUCACUGGAGAUUUUAUAAAGUUCCAUUUGGUUCUUUCUAUAUCUUCCAUUUCCCUCUUUAUGUUUACAUUUCCCUUUAAAAAUGUUUGAAAGACUGUCUUAGGGUGUUGUCUGGUAAUUCCAUCAUUGCGGUCAUCUUUGGGUCUAUUUCUCCUGAUUCACGUUUUUGCUGGUCACAUUUUCCUGCUUCUUGGCAUGUGGGUAAUUUUUGCUGGGAUGCUGGGCAUGGUGUUUUUACUUUCUUUAUGAUCUGGAAUUUUCUCUUUUACUUUCAGUCCUCCUGGAGAGAGGGCUGUGCGUGUCCGGCCUGUGCUCAGUGACUUGGGCUUCGCUUUGAUCUUGGGUGGGACUCUGAGCUUAGUUACACUAGGGCUAGAGCAGCCUUACUCCAGGCCGGUUCAGCCCUGGGGAGGCGCGGCCUAUGGGGUCUCUCCUGCAGGCCAAAGGGACCAUUGAGGACAGUCAAGUCCAGCUGGUCAGCACUCCAAUGUCCCCUCACCCUGUGUGAGCUCUGGAGUCACUCGGUGCACAGCUCCUAGUGGCUCACUGUGCCGUACUGUGGAGUUUUAUCCGUGACACACACGGCAGGUUCUUGAGCCAAUGCUAAGGGGACCUUGCCGAUGGCUGUAGCUUUUGUCUGUGCAGCUCCCUCCUUUCGGGAGCUCUGCUUGCGUGUCCACCAGCUUCAGCCGUCCUGAGGCCUGAUCCCUUUCUUCUUAACUCAGCAGGACUGCCCUGGUCUGCUGGGGAUCCCAGUUCCUUUUGCCUAGUUUCUGAACACAGCUGAUUCACGGUUUUCAGUUUCUUGCUUUGGGGGCAGAGGGUAAGUCCAGGCUGUGUUACUCCAUCACGGCAGCAGGCAAGAGGGACAGUUCCCCUUCGACGGCACUUAGGUUAUUUCCAAUGUUCUCUGGCACCUUCAAAGGCUGAUGUCCUCUCCUGUACGUCCACCUCUUCCCGUUGGAAUGAGAAUACUUACUUCCAGGGUGGAAUUCAUACACGACAUUGCCUGAUCAAAGGGUGCAAUGGUCUAAGACAUUUAACAUUUACUCCCAAACUGCCUUCCAGAGUGGCUGGCCCACUGCAUAGUCACUCCGUGCUCCAUGGAGUUCACCAUCCUCAGUCCUGCUGGCUUCCCCUGGGCCCAGUCUUGACCUGUAAACACCUCUAUGAGGAACUUUCUCUUCCCUGUCACCAGUGAGUCUGCACAUCUUGUCUUCCUCUUUCUUGGGCUGCUCUGCCCUUUCCUCUUUCUUCUCUUUCCCAGCCGUCCAUCCUCACCUUCUCCUGCUCUUGGCCAAUGGUCCCCGGGCCCAGCUGCCCAACGUGGAGCCAGGAGGCCCCCGAUGCUCCCAAAGGCCCCCUGGGUGCUGGUCCCAUUCCGAGGGCUGGGAUUGUCCAUUUGCUUGUUGAACCAGGGGCAGGAGGAGCCCUCCACCUUCAACAUUUCCCAGAAGUCUCUCUUGGAGCUGAAACCAGGGAGGCAGCAUUGAAUCAUUGCCAAGUGGCCGGAGCCACUUGUUUGGUCCAACCCUCCUUUGCUCCUUCUGGAGAGGUGGCCUCCCUUGGCCUGGCCCCAGCUCUCCGCCUGGUCUCCUGACCUGUAAAGCCGUGGUCCCUAGGGCCCUGACCGUCUAUUCACACAGCGUAACUGUGAGGGUUAGGAUGGCAGGAGGGCCUGUAGGUGAGGUGAGGGCCAGACACCAGGGAGCACGGCACAGGUAUGAGCUGAGAUUGUUUCUGAGGACAGGAGAGACAUCAGGAUGACCUCCCAGGAUGAGCCGGCAGAGGGAAUGGCCUGCGUGGGGCUCUGGGAUGGAAGGAGCUGGAAUAAGCAGGGACGCAAAGGGGUUGGUGUGGCUGUAGCAAAGGGAGACAUGAGUUGGAGAGGCAAGUCUGGGCGCCCACAGCACCCCCAGUUCUGCUCCCAGGACAAGCCUGGAUUUGAGCAGGCACCUGGGCCUCUGGGAAGUCCCUGGUGGCCCAAGCACACUCUGCCCCUCCUCUGACCCCUGUCCCAACCCCCAGUUCUCUCCCGUCUGUCCCAGGCAUGAGGCUGAGGAGUUGCCGUCCUCUCCGUCCACCUCUACCCGCACCCUGAGAGUCGGACACCGACUCCUGCAGGCCCUGCGCCUCUGGGCGUCCCUGGAGUUGACCUCUCUCCACGCCCUUCUGCCCUCCCUGCCCUGCUCCUCACCUCCCAGAGGCUCCCACCUGGGAGACAUCACGCCCCUGUCUACUCCGUCCACCCUCCCCACCAGCCUGACACCUGCACAGUCUCCCGUGCACAGGACGCACCCGGGGUCUGCAGCCUCCCUCAAGGGGCCAGCCUCGGCCAGCUCUGUGUCGAGGCCCCCUUCCAUGCCUCACCAGGGCUGGACCCCAAGAACUUCCCGGCCAUAUUGUUCAACCCACAUCUUUCCUCCGGGAAUGCCCUUUCUCACCUUGUCCCCCAGCAGGACUCCUGUUCAUCUUCAGAGCCCCAGCCCACAUCUGCUGCCCAUACCCAGCCCUCACCACAUGACGCUGACAGUGGCUUUUAGACUCAGCUCCCUCACUGGACCAUGAGCCCCAGGGGGUGAGGCCCAGGCUGCUUUGCCUCUGAGCCCACUUCCCAGCCCGGGGCUCCCACAGAGCAGGGGGCUGAGGCCACCAAGAAUGCAGAGGAGAGGAGGGGGGGCCUCAAGGUGGGCUUUCAGGACGACCCUGCCUCCCACCCUCCAGGCCUGGGCUCAAGCACCCUGGUUCUCAGCAUCUCUCCCAUGCUCGGGACCCCAGAGAUCUCCCUCUCAAGAAGAGGAGGAAAUGUGAUCAGGGAUUCCUCAGCCCAUCGGGAGGUGUCCUGGCCGGGAGCUCCGGGUGUCGGCGAUGUGGUGGGGUGGGCAGCCCCUGGGAGGGAACGGUGGGCGCAGGGGCAGGUCUCAAGGGAUAGCCAGGUGAUGGAGGCUCCUCUUGCUGCGGCAGAGUUGGGUUUGGGGAGAGGCUGAGCCUCAGUUUCCCCAUCUGCACUGGGGGGAGGCAUGCACAGAUGCCUCUGAAGCUCCUGCCGGGCCCUCCCCUGGGCCCUGAGGUUGGGCACCCUGCAGGAGCCCUGGGGUCCCUGGACACAGGCUCUGGCUGAGUCAGGAGAGGCGGCUUCCCUGGAUCCCAGCCCACAUCACAGGGAUGACUGGAAGGAGAGGCCCUGGGGUGCGGGCUCUACCUGCCCCCCCCCAUAAGUAAGGGGCACGAGAGCCCCAUGGAGCCUCAGACAGGUGCGGGGCUCCCUGGGGCGUACCCUGGUCCUGCCCUGCUCCUGAUUCCUGGAUGCCUGGGGCCGAGGAGCAGACGCGACAGCCAGCCAUGGGGACUCCUGGUGCGUGGGCAGGAGCCCUGUCUGCACCCUCCUCCUGUCUCAUUUCCUCCUCAAUGAGUCUGGCGCCCAGAACUGAGCCUGGCCUGAACUACUGGGUGCUGAAUGAGUGAGUGAACAGCGAGUGAGGAGUGAGCACAGGAAUGGUGAUGCUGAGACUGGAGCCCAGCCCUUCGUCUUCCUGCUAAAAUGGACACAGAACUCCUGCCACGGAAUUUGCAUUCCAGGGGGGAGGUGGGAAGACAAGGAACCAAUAAGACACCAGGGUCACUGGGUGAGGGUGCAGGGGGUGUGGUUGGAAACUCAGGCAUCAGGAAAGCCUCCUGAAGAGGCCAUGGCUCAGCAGAGACCUGGUACAGAAGGCUCCCUGGGCGGGUCUCCCCUGCUGCCUUGGGGCGUGACGCUGGCUCAGCAUCUAGGGCCUUGAGUCUUGAGGUGGCUGGGUGGGGAGGGAUGGGCCAGGGGUACAGGGGCUGAGCCAGCCAUGGGACUCCCCAUUCCAGCUGAGACUCACUGAUGCCUGUGGGUAAGUCCUGCCCUUUGCUGUGCCUCAGUUUCCCCACCUGCCCAGGGUGGGGUGGAUGAAAGGAUCUCUGAUGAAAGGAGGCAUCUGAAGGGAGUGGUGGGUUGAGAGCCGGGAUCGAGGGUCCUGGGGGCCUCACCAGGUGUGGGGAGAACAUCCUCCCUCUCUGGCCAACCCCACCCCAAGGAUCUUCCCAGGACUUGGGAGGUCCCUGGGGGCAUGGCAGGGAGCAGAGGUGGUCCCAGAGCCCUGUCCCUGCCCUGGGUGCCUGCAGUGUGCUCUGAGGCACCCGUGUGCUGCUGGGGUUUCCAGGGCAUUCUAAAGCACUCCCCAGGGCUCUUGGGACCAAGCAGAGGGUGCAGAGGGGGUGCCCCUUUCCCUUCAUUGGAAACCCCCUGGCAGUGCUGGGGGCAGGGGGUGUGAGUGCACGUGGGGGAGCGGGGUGGGGGCACCCUCUAAAAGGCCCCUGGGUGUGGGGAUGGGACCCUGUGCUGCUGGGUCUCAUGGGAGCUCCCAAGCCCCUGGUCCCACCAAACCCCCACCCUACCUCAGAGCACCAGGGUCUGUGGGGCUGGGCUGGUCGUCCCGGGUGAUGGUGGCCAGGGUGGACGCUGCCUCUGGGCGCUGCGAAGCUUUGCCGAUAGGGCAGUGGUCAGCCUCCACCCAGCCCUCGGACUUCACUCCUGCCCUGUUCCUUCCCCAGUGCCCAGGGUCUCCUCCCAGGGUCCCCUAGAAAUAGAAAUAGAUAGUGACCCCAAAGACACUGGUGACUGCCAGCCAGUCCUGCCCAAUGGGACCCCUCCCUGGGGAGAUCCAGGCAAACCUCGCUGCCCCAGGUGCCUGCAGCCCACGGAAAAGUGAACCUUCCAGUGGGGUCCCCGGCCUCCAGGGGUCCUGCUCCCACAUCAUGUGAGGUGGGCUCUCACAACCCUCCUCCCAAGACCAGAGGCACAAGGGGGCAGGGAAAACCGACACCUUCAUGUCCAGCAGAUGCCCUGAGGUUCAGUGGGGCAGGGUGGGGUCUGGGGCUGUGACCCUGGAGGAGGAUUUUGUGCCAAAGUCAGGACAGAGAAGGGGCUCCAGGUUAGCCUGGGCUGGGCAUCCAGCAAUCGGUACACUGGAGGCGGUGGUUCCUGUGUCCUUGAGGGCCCAGCCUUAGCACCUGAUGGGGACCUGCCUGGGGCCUAUGGAGAUGGACAAGCCCAUCAGGGUCGUGAUGGGUCUGAUUAGAUGGAAGCCCCCACCUUUAAUUGACUUUCCAGCUCAAAGAUGAAGGGGGCCAGAGGCAUGCCACGUGCAUCACAUGAGCCUCAGACUUUAAUGUGAUGUGACAGCCAGCGGGCAUGGGGGCCAGGGGCCGGACUCACCCAGUCGCUCCCCAUCCAGGAUGCCAGGGCUGGGUGGGUGCCUCUCACCAGUCCCAAGUGUGACUCUUAGGCACCAGGUGUGUGUAUGAGGGUCUGCUCUCCCAGGCCUGCCCUCCUGUCCCCCAGCUCGGGAGAUGGCCAUGGCUCCAGGGAAGGUGGAGUGGGGAGAACCCCGUCUGCACAGGAAGGUUGGGGUUUGAGGCUGAGCACAGUUUGCACAUGGGAGACCCUGGGCAAGGCCCUGUCCGUUUCUGAGCCCCAGGUCCCCACCUGUGAAAUGAGAGCAGGAGAUAGCCACUCCCACCCCGUCCCAGGACAGGUGGGGGUGGACACAGUGGGGGCCCCUGUGGGUGCUCACAAAAUGUCCCCCUUCUCACCCUGAUGGGGACUCAGCGACCCCCAGCCUCCUGGGAUUGGGGAAGGGUCACCUUCUGCAGAGACGUGCGCAGGGCUGUGCAGGUGGAAACCAGCCUGACCCAGCCCCAGGCAGAGGGUGGACACGCCCAGAAUGCACUGCUGGGAGGCGGGGUUUCCUUGAAGUGGCUGGGCCCCCUUUCCGUAGAAGCAGGAUCCCGCCUUUCCAUAGACGCUGGUUCCCCCUUUCCAUAGACGUAGGGUCCCCCCUUUUCAACAGAGACAGCCAGCGAGGCAGCAGGAAGCCCAAGUGCUAAAGCUCGUCCUGCUGGCAGGGGGCUAGGGACAGCAGCCAGGGAAUGAGGGGUCGUGAGGAGAGACAUGGAGCCUCUGCGAGGCUGGGGGCCACCCCCAUGGAGCCCGGCACCCAAGGCUGAUGCCCUGAGCCUGGCCUUGUAUCUCCUCCUUCUGGGGUCCCCCCGCUACACCCUGGCGACGCCCCAGUGCAAAGAGGAGGAGUACCCAGUGGGGACCGAGUGCUGCCCCAAAUGCAGUCCAGGUAGGUGCCGCCCCGAGGGACCUGCCCUGGGGGCCCCUGGGAGCCAGCGCUGUGGGGAGAUGCUCCAAUCUUCCCUGCCAGGAGCCCCUCCUUUCACAGCACUUCUCUAGGGGGAUAUGAAGCCCCCGGGGCAGGGGCACUGACGGGGAGGACCCGAGCCCCCAGGGCCGCCCCCCCAGCUUCGACACUUCCCACCAAGACUCUCACAGCCCUCUGCACAGGGG
rnacentral:lncRNA from 1 species